AUUCGACUGAUGAGUCCCGAAUAGGACGAGACACGCGUCCUGGAU
rnacentral:hammerhead_ribozyme from 1 species